CCUGACUAAUGCUGGGAGAUGGCCCCUUAACAGGCCUGACCAGCAGCGGCCGCGUUUGCGAACGCAGCCGUUCACAGAUCAUGCUUGGGCGGUCCUGUCGGAUUAUGAUAUGACCGGUCCCGCUCUGCAACGAGCGGGAACCUCGUUCCGUAGGUGCAAAGUUCGCCUACCGCAUGCGCAAUGCGCGGUCUGCACCCCUGGGUGCAGGCAACACCGUUCAAAUGCUGGGCGUGCCGGGCGCAAGCCCGUCAUCAUCAGCAGCCGGCGCUCCGGCGCUUGGCCCACAGAUCAUCCGACGGUGACCUAUCGAGGUUAAGAUAUGAUCGGUCCCGGCCCGCCCUGGGCCUCGGAGGCACGGAACCUGCGGAAGGAUCAUUACCGAGAGACGGGGCCUAACCGGCCCCAACUCUUCACCCGUGUCUACUCAAUAUAUGUUGCUUUGGCGGGCCAGCCGGGGCUCUCCGGGGGAGGUUUAUCCCUUCUCGCGCCCGCCAAAGGCCCUAGCAAACCCUGUGAUCAGUGUCGUCCGAGUAAAAACAAUCGUUAAAACUUUCAACAACGGAUCUCUUGGUUCCGGCGUCGAUGAAGAACGCAGCGAAAUGCGAAAAGUAAUGUGAAU
rnacentral:misc_RNA from 1 species